CUCGCGCACGAGGUACUCGUGUCCUGCUUUCCAGCGCCCGCAGUGAAGAUGUCCCAUCCAUUCCUGGCAGCCAAGCCCUCCAAUUCCAAGAACCCACGAGUCUUCUUUGACGUGGACAUCGGCGGGGAGCGAGUUGGACGAAUUGUGUUCGAAUUGUUUGCAGAUAUUGUUCCCAAAACUGCAAAAAAAUUUUGUGCAUUGUGUACAGGAGAAAAAGGCACUGGAGCCACAACUGGGAAACCUCUGCAUUUUAAAGGAUGCCCUUUCCACCGAAUUAUUAAGAAAUUCAUGAUUCAGGGUGGAGACUUCUCAAAUCAAAAUGGGACAGGUGGAGAAAGUAUUUAUGGUGAAAAAUUUGAAGAUGAAAAUUUUCAUUAUAAGCAUGAUUGGAAGGGUUUGCUGAGCAUGGCAAAUGCAGGCCCCAAUAUGAAUGGUUCUCAGUUCUUUAUCACAACAGUUCCAACUCCUCAUUUGGAUGGGAAACAUGUGGUAUUUGGUCAAGUAAUUAAAGGACUAGGUGUGGUAAGGAUGCUUGAAAAUGUAGAAGUGAAUGGUGAAAAACCUGUCAAACUAUGUAUUAUUGCAGAAUGUGGAGAAUUGAAAGAAGGGGAUGACUGGGGAAGAUUCCCCAAAGAUGGCUCUGGUGAUAGUCAUCCAGAUUUCCCCGAGGAUGCAGAUAUAGAUUUA